rfam:Oryza barthii chromosome 11, whole genome shotgun sequence.
AGAAAAGAAAAAUUUGGUUUUCCGUGUCCAACGUUUGACUAUCCGUCUUAUUUAAAAAAUUAUGAAAAAAAUUAAAAAGACAAGUCACGCAUAAAGUAUUAAUCAUGUUUUAUCAUUUAACAGCAAUGAAAAUACUAAUUAUAAAAAAAUUUCAUAUAAAACAGACAGUCAAACGUUGGACACGAAAACCGAUGGUUUGUCUUUUU